GGUGAAAUUUAAACAAGAUAUACCUCAAAGCAUCAUAUGACAAUACCACGUGCAUAUGGGUGAUUGAGUUGAUUUCUCUGUCUUCACAAAGAGAAAGAUAAAAGGUAUUUACCUAUUAACGGGAUAAACCCAAUACAUACAAAAUACAAUAAAGCAGAGCUUUCGUCAUAAUAAUGAAAAUAUAAAAAUCAGGUACACGUAAAACUACAACUAUAAAACACAAACAUAAAAAAUAAAAAAGAAUAUAAAUUAUUUUCAAAUGAUGAAAACAACUGAUUCAAUUACAACAGUUAAAUCUAUUUAAUUUUUUCAAAUUCAAAAUUCAAGACCGCCUAAUUCUUGUAUAAUAGAGGAAAUUGAAGAACCAAACAGAUCUAUUAAAUGACUAAACUUGUUUUCCAUACAGGGUCAAUCUACUAAUUGGUGCAUAUUGACCAUAAUUUGUAGCAUGCCGUAGUUCCUUGAAUAUUUGUGGAUUUCGUGUCAAUCUAGCAGGUAUAUUAAAGCACACAAGACUUAUCAAUUCUUCGGAGUUAAUAACACCAGAGAUAAUUUUGCGAAGAUAACAAAUAUCCAACAUGACUCUUAUGAGUUCAAGAGGUUGUAAAUUUAAUCUCAUUAAUAUAUUGUCAUAAGUAUAAUUUCUAACUGUUAAACCCAUCUUAAAAGCUGCAAAACGUAAAAAUUUGUUUUGAACCUUUUCAAUAUUUAGGAUUUGAUAUGCAUAACUAGGUGACCAGACAACAGAACCAUAUUCAGUAAUUGAUCUCACGAUACUGCAAUAUAAGAUUUUUAUUGUGUGAAUU
rnacentral:lncRNA from 1 species